rnacentral:lncRNA from 1 species
GAAAGCAUGUGUUUCUCUUUUAAGAAUGGAUGCUGUUGUCUGGAGGUGCUGCUUACUGCUUUGCAGUCUCUUUUCAGACACCAGAGGACCAGAGGAGGUAGCCAGAGGAACGCAUUCUUGCUGGGGACAGAAGCAUGACCAAAGUGAGAGGAGCCUAGGAUGUCAUAGACCCAUUAACCCAGGCUAACCAGAAACUUGGUAAAGAGUGAAUGUAAUACCAGAUGGCUUCUUACUACUCUGUGAGCUAGCCUGGGCUUCUUCACACAAUGGCUUGGUUCCUCAAGAGACAAAAUGAACACUACAGAACCACUAAAGGCUGAGUUUGGAGGCCCCAGAGCGUUCGCUCGGCCACACUCUUCUGGAGAAACUGAGAUCAUAGGCUUCUGCCUCCCUCCAUAAGGAACACCAGUAAGCCACAUUUCCAUGAGAGCCUCUGGCCACCACAGCUGCUUUGCCCCAAGACAGCAAGCCAUGUCCGAUGGGAGGACAUCUUAUUUCCUGG